GAUGAAGAACGUAGCGAAAUGCGAUAAGUAAUGUGAAUUGCAGAAUUCAGUGAAUCAUCGAAUCUUUGAACGCAUAUUGCGCCCCUUGGUUAUUCCGGGGGGCACACCUGUUCGAGCGUCAUUGCUGCCCUCAAGCACGGCUUGUGUGUUGGGCCUCCGUCCUCCUCCCGGGGGACGGGCCCGAAAGGCAGCGGCGGCACCGCGUCCGGUCCUCGAGCGUAUGGGGCUUCGUCACCCGCUCUUGUAGGCCCGGCCGGCGCUUGCCGACACAUCAAUCUUUUUUCCAGGUUGACCUCGGAUCAGGUAGGGAUACCCGCUGAACUUAAGCAUAUCAAUAAGCGGAGGA
rnacentral:misc_RNA from 1 species